UACGUAGGGUGCGAGCGUUGUCCGGAAUUAUUGGGCGUAAAGAGCUUGUAGGCGGUUUGUCGCGUCUGCUGUGAAAAUCCGGGGCUCAACCCCGGACUUGCAGUGGGUACGGGCAGACUAGAGUGUGGUAGGGGAGACUGGAAUUCCUGGUGUAGCGGUGAAAUGCGCAGAUAUCAGGAGGAACACCGAUGGCGAAGGCGGCUCUCUAGUACGGUACUGACGCUGAGGUGCGAAAGCGUGGGGAGCAAACAGG
rnacentral:rRNA from 1 species